rnacentral:tRNA from 1 species
GGGCCUAUAGCUCAGUUGGUUAGAGCGUUGCACUGAUAAUGCAAAGGUCGGUGGUUCAAAUCCACCUAGGCCCACGA